rnacentral:rRNA from 1 species
AUCUACAGCCAUAUCAUCCUGAACACACUCGAUCUCAUCUGAUCUCAGAAGCUAAGCAGGAUUGGUCCUGGUUAGUACUUGGAUGGGAAAGUAAAAGAGACAAGAAAAGUCAAGAGCAAGAUA